CGACAUUAGGCUUCUUGGGGAUAGGGAUCUCGCCGCGCUUCUCCAAGGGAAGCGUCAGCCUCCCUAGGACAGGCACGUCGACGAUGAGGUCGACUUUGAUCCUGUAAGGAAUGAUCAUCCCGGGGUUGAUGUCGUUGUAAGUGCUCUUGAUGUCGUCGUAGAUCAAGGUCAAGGGUAUCUUCACGGUCUCUUCCCCGUGCGCCUUGAUGGUUCCUGCGUCGGGGAUGAGGCCGGAGACGAGCUUACGCCCGUCGCUCUCGACGAGGUAGUCGAUGUCGAUGAGAGGGAUGGG
rnacentral:lncRNA from 1 species